AGAAGCCGGAGGAAGGCCAUCCCCAAGGCCCAAGGAGAGCUGAAGGAGCUGGAGGAGGACGCCCCUGGAGUCUGGUUGGGGUCUUCCCCGGGGGAGGGGGCCCCCGGAUUCACCACGUGGUCAAGGUCAAGGGUCACCAACCCUCUUCCCACCGGACCCCCCCUUUUGCAAACGAUCAACCACCAGAAAGAAGCCCGGGAGCGCAUCUGCCAGCGGAGAAGCGUCGCAGAGCGCAACGCUCCGCAAGGGACAGAAAAGAAAAAUAAAGAUCCCGCCUGGUGCGAAAAGGACUGGUCGUUGGAAGCGUGUUUUUCCUUGCGCUUUGGGAUCCCACCCGUCCGAUUUUAGGGGGAUCGUGGGGGGAUCGCCACCCUGGAAUUGGCUUUUUGGGGCGUCCUUCCCCCUCCUGAAAUUAUUCUCUCCCACCCGGGUUUCGCGACGACUCCGUUUUCGUCUGUUCCGGACUUUUGAAAAAAUAAAUCCAAUCCGCUAUUUUUAAAUAUUUCCCUUCCCGGUGACCAUUAAAAAUCUUAUGGUUUU